GCGCCGUUGGCGGUACCGGAGGCGGUACCGGAGGUCUCAGGCCCACGCGUGAGGCCCGGCUCCACCGCUGAUCGUGGUCUUCAGCUGUCUGGGUGUCAUUUCAAGAAAAUGCCUUUGUGAGGAGCAAGAGUGGUGAUUGCAGGAGAGCUGGGACAAAGGGACAGAACAGAUACAGAAUUUCUCUGCUGGGAUUUUUCCAACAGGAUCCAUGUGACCUUUUGUGGUCCAGAACUAUUCCAUUGAAAAAGAAAGGAUACUGGAAAAUCCCUGAGAGCCUGGUAUCUGGAACAACGAGCAUUUCUGGAUGUGAGUGGCUCCUCUCCGUGUCCAAAGGCCGUGGUGGGGAUAUCUCACCACAUCUUCCCUCAGCACCAUUUUGGCCACGCCAGCCAUCCUGUACCUUCCCCGGAAUUUCAGAUUAAGCCUUUUCAUCUACUGAAAUAUUCCUCCCUGCAGAUUUAAAUAAUUAAUUGGGACGUGCCUAGUGGGUCUUGAGCUAAACUUCAGAGAGGCAGCAGAUAUGUGUGACCAAGUGACCUUUUGCUGUCCUGCUCGUCCCCGCGCGCUCGCUGUGCUCAAAGGGACGCUGUCAAAAUUGCUAGGCCUUAAAACUUUAACCCGCACUGACAAGUUGUUCUA